AAAUAAGGAAGACUGUGUGUUAUCGUGGCAAUUCUGGAGGGUAACUGAUUCCAUUCUUUUAUUGAUAAGGUUAACGGCGAAUUGUUGGACUUUUCCGUCCGGGCAAAGAUAGGGUUAACUUUGUAGGCAUGAUCGAUGCGAUGUGAAGUAUGAGGUGACGGUAAAAUGUGUGACCGGGCAAAUGAUGUGUUGCUGUGAUACAGUGUGUGAAAAAAGCAUAAUCUGGCGAAUUUUCUGCGCAUUGCGAGUGGCGGCAUGUUGAGUGUUUGCUUCAAAGAUGAAACGCUUUGAAAUCGGGAGUAGGAUGACAUGAUGAAUCGCGCUGCUUUAUUCUGGACGGCUUCGAGUAGAUUGGUAAGGGCGAUCUGGUAGGGAUGCCAAAUGACUGAUGCAUAUUCCAGGGAGGGACGCACGAAGAAAGUGUACGCUUGAAGCCUGGUGUCCCUGUCGGCCAGAUGCAAGCGUCGCUUCAGAAAGCCAAGUUUCUUUUGCGCUUUAGUUGUGAUAUAUUUUAUAUGGUCAGUCCAUGUUAAGCUAGAAUUUAUGUAGACACCGAGGUAUUUAGCCGAUGUAACCGAGUUUACUAUGCUAUUGUUUAAAAUAUAAGUAUUAGUUUGAGACUUUGGAACGGAAGUGAAGUUCAGGUGAUUGGUCUUUUCUGUGUUAAUUUGCAUCUGCCAUUUGCAGCACCAUUCCGUUAGUUUAUUAAGGUCAGAUUGCAGUGUUAUAAUGUCGUUAGGGCUAGCCAUAUAUCUCUCUGUAAAUCACACAAUCAUCGGCAAAAAGGCGAACUGUUGAAUUAAUAUUUAAUGCUAUGUCAUUAAUGUAUAUCAUCAUGUAUCAUUUAGCGCUUCAUCUUGAAACAAGACCGGCGAGCGCACACUUUCUUGUACGGAAUUCUGCUGUACAAUAACAGAUGGACGCAUUGUGAGUGAAGAACAGAAACGAUGGAUGGUUAGGCUGCUUGACUCUCGGCAUGUUUGAAUGGGCAAAGUUCCGAAUUUGUCGCUGUGUGGUGUAUGUUUGUGUGCUCGUCAUGUGCCGUCAUAGCGCGGGUAUACUUGCGCGGAAUGUGUUUCACUCGGCUACAAAACUUUGCACGCUGCGGCAUCGAACACGCACCAGUACGUGUGCAAACUACGGGAAGGUGAUCGAAGAUGAGGGAUAUAGCACUGUGUGUACUGUCAAAAGGAAAGAAAGAAAGAAAAAGAAAAAAACGCCCUGUCCCGAGUUGGCAUAAUGAUUCAACCUUUAUUUCUUUUUUAACCCGACAUGUAACACCAUUUAUUACAUGAGCUUUAUCCGUGGGUAAAAGUAAUGGCACAACUCAUUAUUUGCCCGUUCAUUACAUGCACCAGCCAGUCCAAAUUAACACUAUACUAGAGCUUAUUGACGCAUCGCAUUACACUCUAGCACGGCAUUGCAACGCUCACCGGACUCUCGUCUGGUUGACUUCUCUGCCUUUCCUCUCCUUGCUUUCUCUAUCUCUUUGUAUACAAUGUAUACAAAGAGAUAUCUCUUUGGGCAAUGUAUACAAUGUAUACAAUGCCCUGUGGCAGAGAAAGCGAUCUCCUCUUCCAGAGUUCAAUUAUUUGUCAAGCAAUCAUUUUACUCUUCCAACAACUACUGCAUAAAUGGGAAAACGAAACCGAUUUUGUUUUGUUCUCCGCGCUCCCAGCACCAGGUGGAACCACGCGCGGCGCUUCCGAUCUCGGAGGAUGUAACAAGACGAGCGGUUGACGAAGCUGCAUUGUGUAGCCAGCCGGUUUAUCUUUUUAUGUUGUACAGUUUGUUAGUUUACCGUAAAUAUGUCUUGAUUUGUACUCAAGAGUGGAGCAAGGCCCUAUGGAACAGAGAUUGACGCAUCGUGAGCGAAGAACAGACGCGAUGGAUGGUUAGGCUGCUUGACUCUCGGCUGUACGACUCUCGGCAUGUUAGGACUGGCAAAGUUCCGAAUUUGUCGCGGUGUGGUGUACGCUUCUGUGCUCGUCAAGUGCCGUCAGAGCGCGGGGAUGUUUGAACGGAAUGUGUCCCUUCGUCUACAAAACUCUGCACGCUGCGGCAUCGAAGUCCUGUGUACGGGUGCACGUAUGCGCUUGGAUACGGGAUAGCCUGCCCUCAACGGAUGUUCAACAGUGUACGCACGCUGCGCGUACGCGUACGUAUGAGACUAGUUGCUGGUGUCCUGCUGGAGCUGAGAAGAGAUCUGCUGCCUGCCAUGAGACCAUGUCUCUCAAGUUACCGCAAUAUUGUUGCCUUCAAAGGGAGACGGCUCUCACAACUGGAGAAGCCUGGGAAGCAUGCAGUACUCCACAAAACCGGUUUCAACGUAAAAUGUGUCUGCAUCUCAUAAUUUCAUGGCUGCAAGAGUGAGCCCAAUGGUAAACACAUCUGAGUGUUCAUGAUGUCAUGCAUUAUCCACUUUAUCUGCACGUCAUACCUAUCUUGACAAAGCUGAUAUUGCCUUUAGAGAAAUUGUAGAUGUUGUGAGCUUGCAUUUCAGAACGCACAACAAGCUUAACACGUACAACACCAGAACAAUUUGUUGAGAAUUUCGGAUCAGGAAUCUUCGAAGCACAAUUUGUUUAGUGGUGUUAAGAUUCUGCUUAAGGUUGUUGAUUAUUACAUUCAUAUAGUGUUCAAGCAUUGCUGUAACAACAUUCUUCGCUUGGAGUACAUAGUAAGGGUGUACUCCACAUGAGCUGGUGGCAUUUUGCUCCAUAUUCAAAAACUGGUUUCUUCUUCAGUUGAGAUUUUCAAGUUUGCAUUCUUUAUUAGCUGUUGUAUGUAACCUAUCCUAAAUGUUUGAAUAGUGAACACAACGUGACCUUUUUGAUUGAUUUUGUGGAUUGUACACCCUUGCUGCAAACAAUUUGAGAUGAUAACUGUUUCCGCCUUAAUGAAAAAUAAUUGCUUGAAGCAGCCAUAGCCACCAAUAAUACUAGCAUGACACGAUUAUGAAAAUUGUGAUAUUGUACUUUGAUUUAUAAUGUUUUUAAACAUAUGGAGCUCUGCCUGUGGUGUAAAUGGGUUCCUGAUAUCCAUUCGUGAUGCAAGAAUUUGAAGAAUAAACUGAAGCAAGAAUGUUUACUUACUUUUCAAGAGAAGCUCAUGGCAAUUUCCUCAUGAAAAGUAAAAUAACUAGAAAUAACUUUACUGAGCUGAGAAGAGUGCUACAAUUGUCUCAUUCGAAUAGUGCCAUAUACAGAAGCUACAACAAAUGUUUACUAUUUUGGUUGCAUUUGUAUAUAUGGUCUUGUCACGUGUUGCAAGCUGUAUUCAGAAUGGCCACAGCUCAGUCAUGAUUGUGGCAUUGUGCAAUGAAGUACCGCUGGCAUCACCCGGAAAGUGUCGCAAAGUUACAAAUACAACUUUGAAUGGGUUCUUUUAGGAAAAAAGACUUAGCUCAGAAAAUUAUCCUUUUUUAUGCAGCCUGUCGAGACAAGGUUUCUUUACAUGGCCAUGGCGCUCAAGGAAGAAACCGAGACUGUAGACUGCCAACGUUCAUUCCUGUUCCGGCAAAGACGGGCCAGCAGUAACCAGCAGGAUUUUACAAAGUGAACUCAUCACAGCUUGAGCCACUCCAUGCCACAAGCAGUUGCUCCUCGAGCCACCGUGCAAAGGUUCCUUGGGGCACAAGUCCAACUCAGCGCCACAACCUUUCUUCUGCAGUUUUUCUACCUACUUAGCUAACCAGCAGCAAGUUUAUCCUUGCAAGGCAUGUGGGAACAGCUUUCACCAGGAAACAGUGCAAGACGAGUGGUCGAAGAAAAUAAAAUUGCUUCUGUGAUCUAAAGUACUUGACGAAUAAAAUUUUGCACUUAUUUGUAUAUAUGUCGUGCAAUUCAUUCAUAUCACAAAAAGCAAAGUGUUUGAUCUUUUGAGCUAUUUCAAUGUGUUGGCCAGACAGUUUUCUCCAUAGCGACCUGCUGCUUCUGCAAUGAGCUGCAUUCAUGACAUUUGCAUUAAAGGAUAUGUACUAUCGGGGACAAAAGUGCCCAGGACGUGCGAGUGUCGACCAAAUUGCAUCUCUGCACUAUCAGCCGCUAUCAUCUGCGUUGCAGACCACUUUCCGAAUGCAAAUGUUAGCGUGGCUGAUCCCAGCAGAAAGUGCACCAAUAAAAUUCGGUCGUCAUUCGCACAUUUUGGGCACUUCUGUCCCCGAUAGUACAUUCUCUAAAUAAUCAAUAUGCUCUGUAAAACAUAAUGCAUGAAACACCUCUAUUUUAACGAUUGGACCGUAUAGUACAGAUUUAGCAUACGGAGCCUUUUUAUUUCUGAGUACGGAAACACCUGUAUGUUAACGGUUGGACCGUAUAGUAGAGAUUCAGCAUACAGAGUCUUUUGUUUUCUGGAUACAGAAACACCUGUAUUUUAACGGUUGGACCGUAUAGUACAAAUUCAGCAUACGGAGCCUUUCGUUUCCUGGAUACGAAAACACCUGUAUUUUAACGGUUGGACCGUAUACUACAGAUUCAAUAUACAGCGCCUUCCGUUUUCUGAAUACGGAAAGCACCUGUACAUUAACGGUCGAACCAUACGAUUCAGCAUACAGAGUCUUCCGUUUUCUGAAUACAUAAGCACUCGUAUUUUGUAAUACGGUCUCUAUUUUUACGGUUGUCCGUUCUACGGAAAUGACCGUUCUUUACUUACGGAAAGUGUUCGGUCACAAA